CGCCAGAAUACUACGAGCAACAGCUUAAAACUCAAAGGACUUGGCGGCGCUCUACACCCCCCUAGAGGAGCCUGUUCUAUAAUCGACAAUCCCCGAUAAACCUCACCAUCUAUUGCUAAUACAGCCUAUAUACCACCGUCCAGCCCACCCUUUAAAGGGAAAACAGUAGGCAUAACUAUACACAUAAAAACGUCAGGUCAAGGUGUAGCACAUGAGAUGGGAAGAAAUGGGCUACAUUUUUUAACCUAAAAAACACGGAAAAGUUUGUGAAACAAAACUAUAAAGGAGGAUUUAGUAGUAAAGAGAAAAAAGAGUGUUCUUUUUAAACCGGCAAUGGAGCGCGCACACACCGCCCGUCACCCU
rnacentral:rRNA from 1 species